CCAUACAAACAACACUCUUCUAACGGACAUCUAAACGGUCUACAAUAUUAUAGCUGAAAGACAUCAGGAAAAAAGAUUAUGACCAAAACCGUCCUAGAUAUACGACUGAGAAAAGCCACUAAUACACAAUUUAUAUAUGAAAAAAAUUAAAGAAAAGCCACGAAACCAACCUUCUUCUUUUGAACACUACGAACCUGCCUUCGAUAGGUGAAGGCGUAUUUUCAGGAACUCCGCCUUACAACGGUGCCCGCCAAAAUGAUCUGCGCUACACUUCACUUGCUCUGCACGGGACAAAAACCAACCACCGCGCGCCGGGAGCUCCACCUCCCGGAUCGCGCCACCGCCAUGGCUCCCCUCCUCCUCUCUCUCCCUCUCCGCCUCCGCCCCAUCCCCGCCGCCGCCGGGAGCUCCACCUCGAGGAUCGCGCCGAGGCCACGGUCCCCUCGCCCCUUCCCCAGGCGGCGCCUGCUCCUGCGCCUUCCCGCCCUCCAAGCCCAAGUCCAAUGCCUCGCGGCACCCGCCGGAGGCCCCGACGCGCCAGCGCCCACGCCGCGGUGGCACGCGGCGCUGUCCGCGGCGGCGGGGCUGUACCCGGCCUCCGUGGCCGUCGCGCGGCCCGAGGCGUUCCGGUGGUUCGUGGCGCUGGCGCCGGGGUCCUACACCGCCACGCUCGGCUUCAUCAUGCUCGCCAUGGGCCUCGCGCUCCAGCUCAGGGACUUCGCCGCCCUCCUCCGCGACAGGCCCCUCGCCAUUCUGUUCGGGUGUGCCGCGCAGUACGCCAUAAUGCCGGCGUUUGGCGCCAUCGUUAGCCACGCGCUGGGGCUUCCCCCGCCCCUCUCAGCUGGACUAAUCCUGCUGGGAUGCUGUCCUGGAGGAACUGCAUCCAAUGUGGUGACUUUAGUUGCUCAAGGUGAUGUUCCAUUAUCCAUCGUGAUGACUGUCUGCAGCACUCUUGCUGCAGUGUUCCUUACUCCUCUGUUAACAAAAAUUCUUGCCGGUGCUUAUAUUCCCGUGGAUGCUGUGAAGCUCUCCCUCAGUACUUUGCAGGUGGUGGUUGCCCCAAUUCUAUUAGGUUCAUCGAUACAAACUGCAUUCCCAUCAGUAGUUCAAUUUGUGACUCCUUUUGCACCUCUGAUGGCAGUCUUGGCUUCAUCCCUUCUGGCAUGCAGUGUCUUCUCUGAGAACUUUGUGCGCCUAAGAUCGACAAUUGCCGAUGCAUCCUCUGUGAGUGGGAACUUCUUCUCCAGGGAUAUUGGCAUUGUCAUGCUCUCUGUCUUCUUGCUGCAUUUUGCUGGUUUCUUUGUUGGUUAUGCGGCAGCAGCUAUUGGUGGUUUCAAAGAAAAACAAAGGAGAGCAAUAUCUAUUGAGGUGUUGGUUGGUGAGGUUCAUGGAACCAUGAGAGCAGAAAGCCAGAUCUCAUCCAUCCACACAUGACACAGGAAAAAUCUGAAGACUCGGAGCAACAUAAAUCUGUUGCACAGCUGUGGAAUCAUGAUAAUCACUAGUGGUUUUUUCUGGGAGCUGAAUCAUGCUGUUCUGGAAUGCUUACUUUAAAGUUCAACAAUGGUGACCUGGAAUGUUAAAGCUUUGAGUUUGAAUGAUCAGCACUGUAGCAUGUCCAGAUGAGGCCUCCUUUUCUGAAUCUUUGGUUAGUGGCUAGCAACUUAGUAUAAUAUAUGGUCAAAGGAAGCUAUCAUGUGAAUGAGUCGUCAGGCAUAACAAAGUCAAGUUUGUAUAAAAAUCCUCCACUUGGAUUGCUCCAGAAAAAUAAGAGCAUCCUCCACUUGGCCAUCAUUAUGCUCAAUGCUUAUCUGCAAACUAUCUUGUAAAAAUAUGUGAAAGAUAUAUGAAUGAACAUGCAUAAGGUUGCAAA